UGUUGAUCCUGGCGCUAAUCUCAGUUGCUAGAAUGCCAAAACUUAUUAAUUAUAUGGAGAUAUCGUUAAUUGCCCCCUUUAAUAUGAUAUAUAUCAAUAUAUCUUUUUUUUUUGUUUGUUCCCAAGCUAGCAUGGAAGGAGAGGGCUACCUCCUGUUGUGUACUCCACCCAUUGAAUAAAUAAAGACUAUAUAUUUCUAUUGAAUGUGUUUUUUGUCAUUCGCUAAGGAGGAGGAUGAAGCAGAAUUAUAUUGGAUUGCCUCAAGAUUGUCUUCUAUGUGAAUCGAACCCGGGUGCACUAAGGGGGGAAUGUGAGAGUUUUGGCCUACUUUUUUUACCGUGAUGCCACCCCAUGUGCUGUAUUGAAUGUUAUAUAUAUUGUUGAAAAUUGUAGGAAUCUUUGUGAAGUCUGUUUAGCGAACAUUUGUGAUUGGUUUGAUAUGAAUAUGAGAUUAGUUGUGCUGAGGACUUGUUUUCUUCUAAAUUUGUUUAUAUAUCGGCUUCUACCCUAACUUGAGAAAGAAUAAAUACUCCUUGGCAGUAAAGAUUGCUUGGAAUACAAUUCGGGCUAAUUACCUGUUUUAAGCAACUAGAAACCCCAAUCAAAUAAGGUCAUAUAAGCCACAAUUUGACUCAAGAAAAAUUCAGGCCCAAACAUGAACAAAAGCGCAUAUUAUUUUAGCACGAAUAGUUCUGUACCCUCUAGAAUCUUGUUAUUUUCACAUAGCUCUUUCCUAUCUGCCAAUCUCUUCUCCCGAUUUGUCAUUUCUCAUCACUUUCUGUUGAUCCACUUUUCGGCAUCGAACCUAAAUUUCCCUCUCAUUUACUCAAACAAAGUUCCCAACUUUCUUCUCUGUCUCACUUCUAAUUGUUUCAAUCAAAUUGAACUGCAGGCAUGCGCAGAGAAAGUAAAUUAAGAUAUUUUUUAAAAAAAAGCAUUUUCAUUCAUAACCUUCCCGAGCUCAAAUAUUGAGAUUUCUUACAAGAAUUGCCAAUAUUCCUAGAGUCAUAUCACACUACACAGAUGAUAGAACUUCCCAACUUCUCAAGAGAAAGGGAAUCUAGAAUUAUUCUAACGAGUCAAAAAAGAAAGAGCUAUGCUACAGUCAAUCACCUGCGCGAGAUUAGGCCAUUUUUUACCAUUCAUUAUUGUGGGACACAAAUUUGAUUAAUGGUAAGAAAUUGCUCCCUUGUUCUUAUUUACGUUUGUCUUUCCUUCGAAGUCAUGAUCAUGUGGUGUUCUAGUGUUCCUAUUGUCAGUUCAUAUGGUAUAAGCUUCUCCUCAUUGUGGAUUGUAUUGGCACUAGUUUGCCAAGCACCUCUUUCUUUGCAUGGUCUCUGGGUCACUCGAACAGGAACCAACUCUCUUCUGUAAUCCAUGGUUCUGUCUUGAGGCAACAGUUUACUGUAUAUGGAAUCCAGCUGAUUUAUCUUUUCGAAUUCGAAAGCUACUUCUGCCAAGAAUGUUAUUAUAAGAUAUUGGCUGCUUUAAUUAUGAAGUUGGAUUAAGUCUAUUUGCUUUGUUUGAUCUAAUCAGAUCAUAUGGCAAUUUUGUUCAUAUAUUGACCAUUAAAAUUCCUGUGGAAGAAAUGACUAUCAUUAUCAUUGUUUUUGUAAGUAAUGUAUGGUAUCAAAAAAUAUUAAUACUGGUCCCUUCCUAUACGAUUAGUUUUUUGUCGCUACCUAAGUCUGGUGGCUAGGGUUUGCGUUGUCUAGUGCUCACGUCCUUUUGCAGAGAGCUCUUUCCAUGCCCAUAAGGCGUCCCUGUCUGCAUAGGAGUGACGAAGGUGACGGGCUCGUGACACUCUAGGGUUCGGCGUCGUGUUUUGUGAAGGUUUUUGGGCGAGAUCUAGAGUGGACUUUGGAGGCGUUGAAAGAUAUCGUUCAAGGAUUUACCACUAACCUGGCAAUCUCGGAGGUAGAUGCUUUCGAGAUUGUAGGCGUGGAGGAGCUGAGUAAAUUGAAGGCUGAUCGUUUCCUUUUGGUUGGGCGCUUACUCAUAACCAAGCCUGUCCAUAAAGAGCCGCUGUUUGGUACUAUGAAGAAUAUCUGGCGUACAUUGGAGGAUAUCACUGCGGUUCCUUUGGAUGUACCCGAGAGGUUUUUGUUCUCCUUCAAGUCUGAUCUUGAUCAUAGAAGAGUGUUGAGGAGUUCUCCUUGGACUUUUGAUAAGGCCCUGUAGUUGCUUGAGGCAACAAACGGUUAUGUUGAUCUGCUGACAAUUACUUUGGAUACCCAUAACUUUUGGGUAAAGGUUAGGCGUAUUACCCUCUUGUUCCUGACUCCAGCAAUGGGAGAGAAAUUGGGCAACUACCUUGGAUCUUUUUUCAUGGUGGAUCGCAGAUUGAAUGAGGAUUGUUCGGGCAGUUUCUUGCGCAUCAUGGUAGGGUUGAAGAUAUCGAAGCCCCUGAAGUGUUGUGUUAUGCUUUGUUUAGCACUUGAUGAACUAGCAAAGUAGCACGAGAUCGAGUAUGAACGGCUGCCUUAUUUCUGUCUGUAUUAUGGUAGAUUGGAUCAUAUAGGUUCAAACUGUGAGUUGAAACGAAAAGGGGAUAUUACUACGGAACGAUAUGGACGGUGGAAGACUAUGGUCAAAGAUGUUUUUAGUAUCAGGUUAGUGAACGGUUUUACAAGGAAUAGGAUUAGACUUGGAGGCGACGAGACACAGUUGACAAUUGUGCUUCACCCCGAAGGUGGUGGGCAUUGUUUGUCUGUGAGAAGCGAUGGGAAAUGGUCGGGGAGAGAUAACCAUAGAGGAAGAUGGUUUGGGAAGUGAUCAUGUGCUACGUCUAUUCAAAAAGAGACGAUUUUCUACUGAAGGUGAAGGCCAUACCACUACAGCACCGAUGGGGAAGAGGCCGGGUGAAACUCAUAAGUGUUUAUUAGUGAGCGUCCGAGGUUCAGGAACCCAAGAGGUACUGACAAAAUUGCCAGAGACUAUGAUUGUGGAGAAGGCAUUGGUAGACUACGUCGCUGUCGAACAACUACUGGGAUUACCUUUGUUCUCUAUGGGUAAAGAGCAGAUAGGCAGUAGGGGCCUGUAUGGUGGAAGGUGCUCGAUCAAAAAACAGAGCAACAAAAGAUACAGGCCACGUAGAGAUGGUGGAUGAGGGAAAUGAGAAGUGAUGUUACAAAAGCAAAAGACGAGCCAAGCUGGUCAAUCGGUGAUGAGUCCCGAGAAUUAGUCCUAUCACGAGCAAUGACAAUCUUAUGCUAGAAUGUUUAUGGUCUGGGCAAUCCACGAACAUUUCAAGCUAUGAGAUUCCUCAUUAUAGACAAAAACGAAAAAAAAACUACUCGUCAAAUGAAAUACAUCUAAUUGCUGCUAGGUUGGGCUGGCUGCUUUAAGGUGAGCAGAGUUGGCUUGUCUGGAGGGCUUGCCCUCCUUUGGCAAUAUGGGAUGAAUAUAAUGAUUCGUUCUUCAUCGCCAGGUCAUAUUGAUGCCAUCUUUGGAGGUUUGGAGCCAACUGCAUUUAGGUUUACUAGUUUUUAUGGAAACCCGUAUAUGAAGCUGCACAAGCAUUUGUGGGAUCUAUUACAGUGGAUUGCGGGUGAUGUGAUUGGCCCAUGGCUAGUGGGUGGUGAUUUUAAUGAAAUAGUUACGGCACAUAAGUAUUUACACUGCCGAUUUCUGGCUAUGUCAUAGAUAAGGGAUUGUGGUGCAGCUCUUAAGGAUUAUGGUAUGUCGACGGUAGGUUUCAGAGGAUAUAAAUUUAUUUGGUCCAACCAAUGGAGAGGUAGUGGUAAUGUUCAGCUUUGUUUGGAUAGGAUGGUGGCAAAUGAUUUAAUGUUUCUAGCUUUCCCGGAUAUGCUUACCCAUCAUCUUAAUUCUGUGGUAUCGGACCAUCUCCCUAUCCUCAAGGAGUGUGGGUCGCAUAGUUGGGCAUGGAGAAAGCAACGUUUUAUGUUCGAGGAACUUUGGACCACAUUUGAAGGUUGUCAGGAUACCAUUACUAGUGCUUGGAGGGUUGAUCAGGGGUCUGUUUUGAGCAAAUUGCAUUCUUGCCAGGCAUCCUUGACCCGGUGGAAUAAGGAGAAUGUUGGCUAUAUUUCUACAAAAGUAAGAUGUUUGCAGAGUAAGCUAGAUAUUUUAAUGGGAAAUGAGCAAGAUGCAACAAUUGCUCUUCAACAGAAAGCUCUCUCGCAGAGCCAUCUCUCUUCCCUCCGCGAGCCUCGUCAACGUCGCCGAGCCUUAUCCUAGUCUACGAUCGUGGUUUCUCUCUCUCAUGUUUUUCUGAUGGUUUAUCUAUCGUGGUUUCUAUAUUUUCCUUUUGUUUGUUGAUGAUGCCCGUCGUCGUUCACCUAGCUAUCUCUCUUUCCUCCACGAGCCUUGUCAGCACUUGUCGAGCUUCUAUGCCGUGCUACACUGCUGUUGUUCCCUUUGCAUACCCCUUCUUUCCCUAUGUCCCAAGUGCAUACCCCCUGUUUCCCCAUGUCGACGGUGGGUUUCAGAGGGUAUAAAUUUACUUGGUCCAACCGAUGGAGAGGUAGUGGUAAUGGUAAUGUUCACCUUCAUUUGGAUAGGAUGGUGGCAAAUUAUUUAAUGUUCUUAGCUUUCCCGAAUAUGCUUACCCAUCAUCUUAAUUCUGCGGUAUCAAACCAUUUCCCUAUCCUUACGGGGUGUGGGUCGCAUAGUUAGGCAUGGAGGAAGCGACGUUUUAUGUUCAUGGAACUUUGGACCACAUUUGAAGGUUGUCAGGAUACCAUUACUAGUGCUUGGAGGGCCGCUCAGGGGUCUGUUUUGAGCAAAUUGCACUCGCUGGUUUGUUAUUUCUGUGGAUGAUUGCACUUGCAUGAUGUGGUUGUACUUGAUGAAAAAUAACAGUGAUGUUUUUGCUGUUUUUAGAAUUUUCACCAGAUUGUUCUAUUGACAGGUAUAGUGCCAAACUUAUGGCCUGAGGUUUAACCUAGACUUAUGGAACUUUGGACCACAUUUGAAGGUUGUCAAGAUACCAUUACUAGUGCUUGGAGGGCCGCUCAGGGGUCUGUUUUGAGCAAAUUGCACUCGCUGGUUUGUUAUUUCUGUGGAUGAUUGCACUUGCAUGAUGUGGUUGUACUUGAUGAAAAAUAACAGUGAUGUUUUUGCUGUUUUUAGAAUUUUCACCAAAUUGUUCUAUUGACAGGUAUAGUGCCAUACUUAUGGCCUGAGGUUUAACCUAGACUUAUGAUAUUGAUUAUCAAGAGACGUUUGCACCGGUGGCUAAGAUCAAUACCAAUCGAGUUCUAUUACCUUUAGCUGUAAACUUUAAUUGUCCAUUCAAGCAAUAUGAUGUAAAAAAUGUCUUCUUACAUGGAGACUUACAUGAGGAAAUCUACAUGUCAUUGCCGCAAGGUUAUAAGGCUCCUAAUGAUGCUAGUGCUGUAUGUAAAUUGAAGAAGGCACUAUAUGGAUUGAAGCAGUCUCCGAGAGCUUGGUUUGGGAGUUUCAGUCUUUCCAUAAAAAAAAAAUUGGUUAUGAGUAGAGCAAUGCUGAUCGUACUUUAUUUUUAAAAGGAAGAAUGGUAAGUUAACAGCUCUUAUUAUUUGUGUGGAUGAUUUGAUUGUGAUUGGUGAUUAUCUUGAUGAAAUUGGCAAACUGAAAGGCUAUUUAGCUUCUGAGUUCGAUAUGAAGGAUCUCGGUGGAUUAAAAUAUUUUUUAGGUAUUGAGGUAACUCGUUAUGAACAGGGAAUUUUCUUGUCACAAAGAAAAUAUGUUCUUGAUUUGCUAAAGGAAACAGGUAUGCUUGGUGUGAACCGAUUGGUACUCCUAUAGAACGAAAUCAUGGUUUGGAAGAAUAUCCAGAUCAAGUUCCAAUUGAAGUCCUUAUUUGUCUUAAGGCAUAGAAAGGACCUCACUAUUCAGUUUACCGUUUCAAAUGACAAUUGUUUUUUUUAAGUCAUUUACUUUGUGCGCAAGUCUAUUUUUAUUUAUUUAUUUACAAGUCUUUUAGGGUUUUAACACUACUAAUAUUGGCACACUCGCAAAUUCACAUAAGCUCAACCCUGUUUUAAGGCUUGGACAUUUUUAGGGUAAAUAUAUUUUCGCACUCCCCGUGGGAUCUCUAAUACACAUAUUACUAACAACUUAUGUUGGUAUAUCCGUUACAUGGACUAAAGUUACUUCGUUUUACCAAAAAGAUUGUUAUAAGACAUUUCAAACUUGGAAGUUCUAAAAUUGUUGCAUAAUUGCAGAAUGGUACUGAGGAAGAUAAUAAAGGAGCUCUUACUUUAGCAAAUGCAAUAGAGAAGGCUCUGCAAUUGCAUGACAACCCUAAUUCUAUAGUGAAAGAAACAGCUAAAUCUAUUGCAGUAUUUUUAGCCACUCGAUCCUUUUAAGGUUUAGAUAUACAUUAUGAAGGUUCCUUGCCAGAACCAUAUUUUAUAGGGAGAUGUAGAAGGGUAGUAGGGUAUGAAGAUGAGAAAAACGGGCAUCGUGUUGAAGGAUGUCCCAUUGGUAGAUGUGUGGAAGGCAACAGGUGUAGGUGACCGCCCGAGAGGGGACAUGUAAAUGAAAGAGCAUACUAUUGAUGUCUCCCUUGCAGCAUGGAGUGCAUCUAUAUGAAACCGAGACUAUGUAAAGGGAGAAACAAGUUUACUAGGACUUGGGUUACAAGUUUACUAGGAAUAGGAAACCAAAACCCUACUAGAUUGGGCUAAGAAAUAUGCCCUUAAAGCCAUCAAAUUAUGUAAGAGCAACUCCACCCAUUUUCCAUGGCUAAGGGCAAGGGGGGGCUAGGGCAGUUACUAUUCAUGUAAAUAGUUGCUGCCUUUGCAAAAAGCAAUGUGUGUUUCCAUCCGUUGCCAUUUUUCUUUUUUUUUUUAACCUAAACAAUUAAUUUGGAUAAUAUUUUCAGAUAAGAUUUUUGGGUUCGUACAUGUCAAUAUUUAUUAUCAAAUUCAUAUCUCAUAAUCGGAUAAAAUUUUAGGAUAAGAUUUUCAGUUUCAAAUUUUAAAUUUCAAAUUUUAGAUAAAUUUCAGAACAUCUUCCACGGUUGCCCACGUGCCCCCGGCUUCGAUGGAAGAUGCCAUGAGAUGGUGAAUAAAAUGAAAAUUGGAAGUGAUGAAAAUUUUGUGUAGAAGGUGAAAAACAAUAGAAUUUAUGAAAUUGUAUGAGGAUUUGGUGUUCAAAGUGAAGAAGAAUGGUAGGUAUUUAUAGGAAAAAAGUUCAGAAUUUUUUGGUAAUUCUUUAAAAAAAUGUCAAAUUUUUUUUUUUUCACAUUUUUUUGCCCAAAAAAAACCCAGUCAUUGGAUUUGGAAAAAAAAAAAAAAAAAAAAAAAGCAUCCGCGCAACUGGAAUGCGGCACUUGUCAAGUGACCGUUGGUCGACGUCAGCAUUGACGUCACCUCGCCUCGGGCUGCUUCCCCCAGCUAGAUGGCCCUGUCGCGUGGCACCCGCCUUGGCUAGGCUGUCUUGGCCCGCUGGAACCCGCUGCUUGGGAUCGAGCCCUGUCCUGCCCGAGCUUGGGUUUGUUGUUGGACUUGCUCUAAUAGUUAGAGUUAAAGACAUCUUUAAUAAAAGACAUAUUAUGUUAUCAAUAGGCAAGAAAGGUUGUUUUAUACAAUAAAUCAUCCUAUAUUAUCUUUCAAUAUGGAGAACAACCAUAGUCCAAGGAAUACACAAGUGGAUAUGAGAGCUAUGUAAUGAGAUUGCAUACAUGGAGACUUCUCAUCAUCCCUAAAUCCUAAAUAUGUUCAUGGUAAUAGGAAUAUUGAUUGGGCAUCAAUAUUCUGCAAAGACUUGUACACACAGUAUCGUCCCUAUAUGUAGGGAAUGGCAAGGUCUCAAGUCAUUAAGUGUGGAGACACAUCGAUAUGUGUAUAUGUGCUUGUAGAAGAACAAGUACACUGAAGGCGAUCCAACACAUGAGUUACAACAUGGAAGUCUUUACUUACAUGUCAAGCUGGAAGUCAUAAUUUGCAAUGGUGCAAACUAAUCCUUAGACCUGAGGCAUCAUAGAUGUUUUGUGGCUAUGUUGUUAAUCUUUGAGGGCACUAUACGGUCAUGCUGAAUUAGGCAUAGCUUAAAGGUGCUCAUCAGGAUUCUCAAUAGUGUCAUGGAAGUAAAUGAAUGUACAAUAAGGAAUCUCUACUCUCAGUAAAGGAGAGAGAAUACUCCAAAAUAUGAUUGGUCAAAUCUCUAAGCAGAGUAGUGGAUAAGACUUGAAAGAAGAAGUCUUCAAGUGUUACCAGGAUAAUCAUAUAAAAUGAAUGAUUCACAUUAGGAUAUUGACAAUCGGAUUCCAUGAUCUAAUAACGUGAAUAAGGAGUAUUGACAUAAGAGAAUGAUUCAAUUGCACGGUUAUUCCAAUUUAAAUAGGUUCUUACACAACGUCUCAUUUAGCUCGGAUAACUGUGACUUGCUGCUAGGCGACAACCAUGGUUUGUGAAUGUCCUAAAAGGUUUCAAUUAACCUUUAUUAAUAGAAAGAAUUAAAUUGUGGAAUUUAAUUUAUAUAUUCAAAGAAACUAGGCUAAGAUACUUUGUUUAAAAUGAAAUUGGUUUAGCUCAACUAGUAUAAACAAAAUGAAUAUGACAUUUAUAAUGUUUUUGUUGUAUAGGUUGUGGCUAAAUUUCAUUUCCUAAGCAUUAGAUGCAUGUUUCCUUCACUUGGCUACGUAAGAAUUCAUUGUCCAAUCGAACCUUCUAGUUCCUGGAUGCUCCAUAGAAAUCCAUUGUUAUUCCUUUCUUCCACCGAGAAAGUUUCAUUUCAAAUCACAAGAGAAAUUUCUCUCUCUUUUUUUAUAAGCACCGACCGUUCGUCAUGAUUGGGUGACGGUUCGCCUGGAGCAAAAUUCACAACUCGAGCCUCUCUACCAAAAUCCAACUGGUUGGCUGGCCACACCGGCCGGUAGCUUUCUUGCUGCUGCCAAAUCCUACGACUUCUUCUCCUCUCUUGUUGCUCCUUUUCAUGCAGCACCUUGGUUCCUCUUCUUCCUCCUACAUUAUGGUGAGCCAAAUCACAACACUAGCUACAUGUAAUGAGCAACUAAGGCAAGGGUGGAACUACUUCCAAGGCUAUAUAUAUGUUUAACUUGUUUUAUAUAUAGCCCAGUACGUACUAACUUAUUCAAGUCCAAAAAAGUCUAAGUCCUUAUGAAUUUAGUUGGAGAGCAUCAAUUUGAUAAUAGGUACACUUUCAAUUAUGUUGUUGAACAUAUUUUCAUUUUGAUAAUAUGUGUUUUUUAGUUGCAUUUAAUAUGUAUUGGUUUUAAGUUUUUUUUUAGGACCUUUCCUUUUGAGAGGGCCGAUAAUAUACUAAACUCACACACACUAUAUUCAUACUAGGACUUGAACCUAGGACCUUGCUUGGGAGAGCAGUUGCUCCAAACCACCACACUAGUGGGUCCUUUUGCAUAUAUGUUUUAAGUUAAAGCUUAUUGGAAAUGAACAUUUAGCUCUGCACUCAAGGACCUAAGUUCGAUUUCCCACUCACCCAAUAUCGCUUAUAUAAGAAGGAAAAAACUUAUUGGAAAUUAGUCAAUUGAACUAUGAACUAGUGUAUGUUUUUAUUUAUUUAUAACAAAACAAUACAAGCAACAGUCUAAACUACAAGUGGGAGGGGAGUUUCUCACACACACACAUUAUCAAGGUGUCAUGGAGGUUCAAACAUGAGACCAAUGGUUUGCGAGUCAAGGUCCCUUUCUAUUGGGCUAGACCCCGUUGAAGAACUAGCGUGGUUAUAUGAUUUAAUGUUUGCUUUUAUUUCUAGAAAGACUAUAGAAUCUGGAAGUACCAAAAAAAUAAAAUAUCAUUAAAUUUUAAGCUAAUAAAUUUAGCUAGACUACCCGUAAAAACAUUUCUGGUUCCGCCCUUGAACUAAGGUCUUGUUUGAUGGCUUAGUUUCUUAGUUUUUGGUUACUUUUCAUCAAAGAUAGUGAGAGGGGAGACAGUAAAUCUGAAUUGUGAAGCAUAAGAUACAUAAGCCAGACUUUUUCCAUUCACAUCAAGAUAAAAGUUUUCUCUGUCUGCAGAUGACUGCACUUUAAACUUCCUUGCCUAACUUCUAUGAUUUUUACUUCCCUUUUAUAUUUAACUUGCAUUUUAGGUAUUAAUAUGGAGUUGUAAUUACAAUUAUGGCAGUUAAUGAAAUGCUUGGAAUACAUUAUAAAUAAAAUAUGAAGUCUAAUGGCAACGAUGUAAAAACAUAGGAAUAUUAUGACAUCUUAUAUCUUACUGGUAAUUUAAGUUUAAAAUUGAGUUUUCCACAUAGAUUUAUAAAAUGAUGGGUAUAUGUCUAGGAAAUAAAAAUGGUAGGGACCUAUAUUGGAAAAACCCUAAAUUUUAUUAAGAAACCACAAAAGGGCACAACAAUACAACAAAAAGUAAAAUCCAACCAAGCUCAGCAACAAGGAUAUACUUUUUUAGUGGAAAAUGUUGGGAACACUGACUUAUAUCAUGAUUUGAUUUUUCUUUGGCCUACAAAUCAAUUCUUUUAUGUGGAAAAUUCUUUUGACUUUGUCACUCAAAUUGUACAAAUAUGGUUGUGUGGCUUUUAAAAGGCAACGUGACGUGUGGGAUGGGCUGCCAAUUUUGAAACUUAUUAGCUUCUUUGAGAAGCUGGUGCAACAUUUAUGCGCGUGAACACUUGGCGGAUUGAUCCAUCAGAGAAGACAAAAUAAUGGUGUCAUUUGGACAGACUUGGGCAAUUGAUCCGGCAACAAGUCUUUCAUGGUUCCUUUAGCCUCGUUUGUUACGGAAGAUUGUCUUGGCAUGAACUAUUCUAAGAAAUUGUCUUGGCCUGAAUUGGCUUAAGUUGAAUAACACUUAACCUAUGUUUGGUGAUGCUUGGAUUGGGACUAAAUUUAAAUUGAUUAAAAUAUCAAUAAAUAGGACGAUAUAUUUCAACUUCUGUUAUACUGUACAAACGUGGGUUAAAAAUAUUCCAAUUUUUUUUUUUUUGCUAGUAAAUAGACCAGACCCGACCCGUUAAUUCUAGGCCAAAGUUCCCAAAGUUUUAUUUAAUAAGGUUUAUUUUUUAGGUUUAUAUAGGUUUUAAAUUUAAGGGCAUUUGUGUCUAUUUAAGUGAAUUUUUUACUAUAUUUGAAAUAUUUUAUAAAAACUGAUAUUUUUGAAAUUAAGGAUCAAGUUUUGAUAAAUUCUCUAAUAAAUACAUUAGUUUUAAGUUUUAGAUUUAUUACAUUUUUUUAUUUCUUGCUUGCAUUUAUUAACUGUCAUUUCUUUAUCUCUUUUUCGAAGCCUCAAAAGUCCAGUCAAUGGAUGGGGCCGUCUGAGUUGUUUUGUACGGUGGAAAACGUAUAAACUGGAUUUCGUGUCCUGGACUUCAAUAAUUUUUUCAUAUCUUUUAUUUAUUUAAACAACUUGGACUUCGUAGAAAUGGGGCUUUUUCUUUGGGUCAAGAAGUCAGUCAAUGGAAUACGUGUUCUCUCCGCCAUCGAUGGGGCAGCCUCUGUUUACCUCUCCUACUUUUGGGUGAAGAAGUCAGUCAAGUCUUUAUUUAUAAGAUUUUUGAAGUUGUUAAGAUAUCUACUGUGGCCAACAAAAUUCACGAACUUGCUUUCAGAAAAUAUUCAGAUAACAAUUAUUUAAUUGAGUAGACAAAUAAAUUCAAAUUCAAGUGAUGAUUUUCGCAGAGAUCAUCGCUGAAGAAUAUCAAAAAAAUAUACAAUUUGAAUCAUAAAAAAAUAAUAUUAUAUAAGUCCUACAACAGUGUUCCACAAACAAAAAAAUCCUCAAAUGAAGCUUUUAUGAGUAGGUACGAGCUUUAUUAAUUAUCCCUGACAAGAUUGUAGACCACCAUGGAAAGUCUCCUGCGGUAGUAGAUGUAAUUUGGGAAUCCAAAGAAACUAAUUUGCACGCCAGACAUGCAAGUCAAUGUCAACUCAAGUCAUACACGAUUUCUGAUAAAUUCAUGUCGGAAAAUGAAUUUCUAGGGAAGUUAUGAGCAUUUCAGACUCUAUGUUUCUCUAUAAAUAUCCAACAACAAAUCUUAACCUUCAUUCUCAUUCUUCACUAGCCCUUCACCAAAAUGGCUUUCUACAAUACAACAAAACACCUUCUAAGCCUCACUGCCCUAGUCUUUGUGGCUGGAGCACUGCUAAAAAAUGUGACAGCACAAAAUUGUGGCUGUGCCCCAGAUCUAUGUUGUAGCCAGUAUGGCUACUGCGGCAGCAGCGAAGACUAUUGCGGCCCGGGUUGUCAACAAGGCCCUUGUACUGGCGGUGGCGGCGGCACACCUACCACACCAAGCCCCAGUGGUGGUGGUGGUUCGUCGGUGGCUGAUAUUGUAACCCAAGAAUUCUUCAAUGGAAUCAUUAACCAGGCUCCUUCAGACUGUGUUGGGAAGAACUUCUACACUCGAGAUGGUUUUAUUAACGCUGUGAACUCAUAUUCUGACUUAGGUAGACGUGGUUCGGUUGACGAGUCUAAACGGGAAAUCGCAGCUUUCUUUGCUCAUGCGACUCAUGAGACUGGCUGUAAGAUAUUCCUUUCCUCCCCUCUCAUACAUACAAUGUGACAUGAACAAAUUAUAACUCCCCUCUCUCAUUAAAAACGUGCAUAUGUUACAUGUUGUGAAAUUAUAUGUUUCACAACGUGCAAUAAGAGCACGUUGUAUUAUACAACUUUUAGCAACAUGCAUUUAGUGUGCGUCGUCGAAAUGCGUUUAGUGCAUAUCAUGUCUGAAAGUUUCUAUAGUUGCUAAAUAUUUUCCAUGUAUUAAGCUCCACAAUUACCGAAUGAAUUUCCUCAUUAUGAUAUGCACAGAUAUUUAUGUCAAAUAGUUGAUAACCUAUAAAAAUUCAAAACCCCUAUUUCUCAUAUAAAAAUUUGAUGGGUCUUAUAUAUUGUCAACAUAAAUAGAACAAACAAAAGAAAACACAGAUGAACCUAACAAAAUAACUUUUUCUUUUUUGUUCAGAUUUUUGCUUCAUAGAAGAGGACGAGGCGACUCGUGAAACCGCCUGCCAGCCAAGCACAGAGUAUCCAUGCAACCCCGACAAAAAAUACUAUGGGCGUGGACCAUUCCAAAUUACAUGGAAUUACAAUUAUGGACCUGCUGGAAAAAGCAUUGGCUUGGACCUUUUAAACUCUCCAGAAACCGUGGCCUCAGACGCUGCUGUUGCGUUCAAGACUGCCAUUUGGUAUUGGGUGGGAAAUGUUCGUUCUGUUUUAAGUCAAGGAUUUGGAGCCACAACUCGAGCCAUUAAUGGUGCUAAGGAAUGCGAUGGUAAAAGACCUGACCUAGUUCAAGCCCGGGCCGCCUUGUACCAGAGUUAUUGCAGCCAACUUAAUGUUGAUCCUGGCGCUAAUCUCAGUUGCUAGAAUGCCAAAACUUAUUAAUUAUAUAGAGAUUAUCGUUAAUUGCCCACUUUAAUAUGAUAUAUAUCAAUAUAUCAUUUUUUUUUUUUGUUUGUUCCCAAGCUAGCAUGGAAGGAGAGGACUACCUCCUGUUGUGUACUCCACCCAUUGAAUAAAAUAAAGAUUAAAUAUUUGUAUUGAAUGUGUUUUUUGUCAUUCGCUAGGGAGGAGGAUGAGGCAUUAUUAUAUUGAAUUGCCUCAAGAUUGUCUUCUAUAUGAAUCGAACCCGAGUGCACUAAGGGGGGCAUGUGAGAGUUUUGGCCAACUUUUUUACCGUGAUGCCACCCCAUGUGCUGUAUUGAAUCUUAUAUAUAUUGUUGAAAAUUGUAGGAAUCUUUGUGAAGUCUGUUUAGCGAACAUUUGUGAUUGGUUUGAUAUGAAUAUGAG
rnacentral:lncRNA from 1 species